GCCGGGGCGCAGCGCGCUGGGGAGCGGGUUGGGGGCUGCUAGGGCUGCGGGGCGGGAAGGAGGCGGCAGUGUGUGUGUGUGUGUGUGUGUGUGUGUGUGGGCAGGUGUGUGUGUGUGUGUACGUGUGUGCGCGCGCGCCCUGCAGCGGCCGGCCAGCCGGAGGGAAGACCCCGGCGGGAAGACUGCGUCCCGUCCGGCCUUCCCGGGCCUGUCACUUGGGCGGUGGCGUGGGAGCGGCGAGGCUGCUCGGGGGGCAGCCGGGUGGGCCCAGCUCUAGGGGAGAUUCGGGUCAGCCCCUGAGCCCAGCCUCCCGGCUGUGCCUGCUGGAAGCAGACGGAGGGAAGGCCGGGCGUCUUUGGCCCACCGCGCGGCCGCUCCCCUCCCGGGCCAGGCUGAACGGGCGGGCGCAGCCCAGAGGCCCGGGCUCUGCCACCGAUCCGCCUCCAUACUGACCCGAGCUGCGGCGCCUGCAAGAUUAAUGAAGCAUCCGCGAUUCGGUAGAGGCGGCACGGGGAGGAAAGACACAAGAUCGUGCUGCCCCCCUCUCCCCACCCUUCUCAGCCUCCUAGGACCUAAAGGCGUAGGCUGCGUCUGCUGGGCGCGUCCGGAGUGGUCCAGAGAGAUCGCCAUCCACCACUGCAUCCGUCCAGUUCUUUGUGGACCCUCACAGAAGCUCAAUCAAUUUCCCACCCUCUGGAAAAGGGGUGAAGAUGGAAAAUGGAAAAGAACGCCAUCAGAGUGGUGACACUGACGAGAAAAGCCAAUUCAUAAUUUAGUUUAAUGAAAUGAGUUAGUAAUCAACCACUAAUGUCUAGGAAAUUGGCCUUUUUUGAAAACUGGUUUUCCCUUUCUCCACCCCUUUUUUUUUCAAAUUAAAAGACUAGUAUCCCACUGUUGUUGUUUUAAUUUUUAUUGUUUUCAGGGAUGGGGUCUGCUGCCAAGGCUGGAUUCGAACUCCUGAACCCAAGAGAUCCUCCUCAAGGGAUCUUCCCCAUCUCAGCCUCCCAAGUAGCUGGGACUACAGGCCAAUUCCACCGCACCCUGCCUAACAUCACAUUGUUCAGGAACCUCAACUUACAUUCCAUUUUUACAAAAUAUCCAUAUUCUGGUUCAUACUUCUUGGAGCCCAAAUUUUUUGUAGUCUAGCCUCUUGGAAAGGAGCGGUUAAGAAGGGAGGGUAGAUAAAUUGAGAUUUCAAUCAGGGGCAGCCAGCCCCAUCCCUUUCACCACUGGUGACUUGUUUCAUUUCUUCUUUCUUUCCUCAUCUGUAAAGGCAUUGAUAAUGAUCGUUCCUACCUCAUAAGCUUGUGAAAGUAAAAAGAAAAUAAAACGAGGUGGCAAUGCAUGUAAAACACUUUGCAUAGUGCCUGACACAUGGGUGAGAACUCAAUAAAUAGAAGCUAUUGUUUCAGACUUGAUUAUUUUAAACUCAAAUUUGGUAGAAUUUUAUUCUCUUUCCAUUCCUUCUGAAAAGUUAGGGAGGAGAAUGGACACAGCUGAUGGAUUUAUUCAAAUGUAGUCCACUCUUCCCUUGGGUUUUUACGCCCUGCCUGAAACUUUUGCCUGUGGUAAAAUGAAAUAAAUACAUAACUGAGGGGUGUGUGUGUG
rnacentral:lncRNA from 1 species